rnacentral:rRNA from 2 species
UUAAACGACUCUCGGCAACGGAUAUCUCGGCUCUCGCAUCGAUGAAGAACGUAGCGAAAUGCGAUACUUGGUGUGAAUUGCAGAAUCCCGUGAACCAUCGAGUCUUUGAACGCAAGUUGCGCCCGAAGCCUUCGGGCCGAGGGCACGUCUGCCUGGGCGUCAC